UUUUGUUUUGUUUUUGUUUAAAAAUUUUCUUUAAAUCUAUUCGGAUGUGAGUGUUAAAAAUAAAUGUCAUCAGAGAUUUUACGAGCAACACAUUUUACCGCAUUGUUGUCGAAUUGUUUGCCGUCUUAAGCAGGGGAUAGAAUGCUUAAUCAGAUCUGUUAGUAAGAAAAGAUUUGGACUUUGGAACUGAGAAUGAACAAAAUGUUUACAAGAGAUAUAAAUGCAGCAAAAUUGUAUCAAAGAAAACUAUCAAAAAGUGGUCCUUUGGACUCUACUUGAAAUCAUUAUCAUCAUUUCUAACACUCGUUUAAGAUCUUGAAAAUUGAAAUUUUGUAGCUCUUCAAAUUAAAACGGAUUCAGACUUUUUUUUUGUAAUAUUUCAGUCUUAAAUAAAAUUAAUUAUAAACGUAC